UAAAGAAGCAGGACGUUCUCAGAGGUCAGUGUGUCCAAGGGUGAAACAAAAACCUAAUAAGAAAAAUAGGUCCGUAAGAAAAGAGACAUCUGAAAAGGCCUAGAAAUUGUGAGGAAAUAAUGCAAAAGGUGUCCCAAGGCUCCUGACCAGUGAACAAAGAUUUGAGAAAGACAGCCAAGCUCAUGUUUUCUCCUGAUCAAGAAAAUCAUCCAUCUAAAGCACCAGUAAAAUAUGGUGAACUCAUUGUCUUAGGGUAUAAUGGGUCUCUCCCAAAUGGCGAUAGAGGAAGGAGGAAAAGUAGGUUUGCUUUGUUUAAAAGACCUAAGGCAAAUGGGGUGAAGCCCAGCACUGUGCAUAUUGCUUGUACUCCUCAGGCUGCAAAGGCAAUAAGCAACAAAGACCAGCAUAGCAUAUCAUAUACUUUAUCUCGGGCCCAGACUGUGGUGGUUGAAUAUACUCAUGACAGCAACACCGAUAUGUUUCAG
rnacentral:lncRNA from 1 species